GAUGAAGAACGUAGCGAAAUGCGAUAAGUAGUGUGAAUUGCAGAAUUCAGUGAAACAUCGAAUCUUUGAACGCACAUUGCGCCCCUUGGUAUCCCGAGGGGCAUGCCUGUUCGAGCGUCAUUUCACCACUCAAGCCUGGCUUGGUGUUGGGCGACGUCCCCUUUGGGGACGCGCCUCGAAACGCUCGGCGGCGUGGCACCGGCUUUAAGCGUAGCAGAAUCUUUCGCUUUGGAAGUCGGGGCCCCGUCUGCCGGAAGACCUACUCGCAAGGUUGACCUCGGAUCAGGCAGGGAUACCCGCUGAACUUAAGCAUAUCAAUAAGCGGAGGA
rnacentral:misc_RNA from 1 species